UGAGUACUCCCUCCGUCCGAAAAUACUUGUCGAUGGAAUGGAUGUAUCUGAACAUAUCUUAAUUUUAGAUACACUCAUUUUUAUUCAUUUCUCCGACAAGUAUUUUGGGACGGAGGGAGUAUAUA
rfam:Triticum aestivum genome assembly, contig: Triticum_aestivum_CS42_TGACv1_scaffold_223877_3B